GCAUUGGUCCAACUUUCCACUGAACCCAGAGUUCUGGAGAUGGACAGAUGAUCAAACAGAUGCAGAUGGAGCGAAGUUCAGGAGUUGCAGAUUCAAGGAAGGUCCCAGUUCCUCUGGGAAUCGUCCUGUAUGCAACAUCUUCACAAGGGUGGCAGGCAGUUGAAUCUCUGGCCUUCGUGGGACCACUGGACAUCUGGCAGAGAACCAGGAAACCACAGUUCCCUUCUGUGAGUCCACUCAGCCGGAAAACUACAAGAAUGAAAAAAAUGCAUGGCAUACAUCACCAAGAAUCAAAGGUUGUGCCUGGCAGUGUAAUUGACUCUGUAAUAAAGAGAGAAGCUUCACUAGCUCCCGAUGCAGCUGCUGUCUGCAGACCCCCUGGACUGCCUGGGGAAGUGAGUCGGAGCUCCUGCAGCAGAGGAGUGGAACGAAGAGCCGAAGGUGGCCAAAAAUAACAGCGCUUUCCAGAUGAGGGAGCCAGUUGUCCAGCACAGUGUCAUGGGACAGUGGGCCCUGGUGCCACAAUGCCUGGCAUCUCCACCAGAUACAGCUUUGAGAUCUUCAUGAUGAAGCUUGCUCCAAUCCAAGGGCUGUCAGAAACAAGAACAUUUGGAAUAUCUUUAUCUUUUGAUGUGCCUGGAAUGACCUGCCAUCGACAGACCCUUCCCUGGCUUCAAGGCUCUGGAAAAUAUCAAUGUGAAAUUUAGUGAGAGGCUUC